rnacentral:misc_RNA from 1 species
GAUGAAGAACGUAGCGAAAUGCGAUAAGUAGUGUGAAUUGCAGAAUUCAGUGAAUCAUCGAAUCUUUGAACGCACAUUGCGCCCCUUGGUAUCCCGAGGGGCAUGCCUGUUCGAGCGUCAUUUCACCACUCAAGCCUGGCUUGGUGUUGGGCGACGUCCCCUUUAGGGACGCGCCUCGAAACGCUCGGCGGCGCGGCACCGGCUUUAAGCGUAGCAGAAUCUUUCGCUUUGGAAGUCGGGGCCCCGCCUGCCGGAAUACCUCCUUGUAAGGUUGACCUCGGAUCAGGCAGGGAUACCCGCUGAACUUAAGCAUAUCAAUAAGCGGAGGA